UGCGCCUGAAGUCAGAGACACCAUGAGGGAUUGUUGCACAUGAAGGCAGAGAUAUCAUGGUGAGUGUUACACUGGAUGGCAGAGAGGCCAAGGGAGUGUUACACACGAAGUCAGAGACACCAUGGGGAAUGUCACACACGAAGUCAAAGACAGCACUUGGAGGUUUACACACAAAGUCCGAGAGGCCACUGGGAAUGUGACACACGAAGUCAGAGGCACCAGGGAGACUGUUACACACGAAGUCAGAGAAACCAGUUGGAGUGUGACUCACAAUGUCAGAGACGACAGAAUGAGUGUUAUGCACGAAUUCAGAGAUGACGAGGGAGUGUGAAACACUAAGUCACAGAAGCCAAGGCGAGUGUUACACACGAUUUCAGAGAUGCCAUGGGGACUGUCAUACAUGAAUUUAGUGACGUCACAUAGGAGAGUUACACAUGAAGUCAGAGAUGCCACAGUGUGUGUUACAGAUGAAGUCAGAGAUGGCAGGUGGAGUUUGACAUAUGAAGUCAGAUAUAACAAUUGGAGUGUUAUACACGAAGUCAGAGAGACCAGGGUGAGUGUGAUGCAUGAAGCCUGAGACACCGUGAGAAGAGUGUCACAUAAAGUCAGAGACAACAGGGGGACUGUUAAACACUAAGCCAGAGAAGCCACAGAGGAGAGUUCCACGAAGUGAAAGACCCAGGGGGAGUGUUAUCCUGGAAGUCAGAGAUACAAUGGUGAAUACUACACACAGACUCUGAGAUGCCAGGGGGAAUGUGACACAUGAAGACACACACCCAGGGGACUGUUACAAAGGAAGGCAAAGAAACCAGAGGUAGAGUGGCAAAUGAAGUCAGAGACGACUGGUGGAGUGUUAAACAUGAAGUCAGAGAUGCCAGGGGUAGUAUCACAAAUGAAGGCAAAGACACCAAGGGAGGUGUUAUGCCUGAUGUUAAAGCCCAGGGGGAGUGUUAUACAAGAAUUCAACAAAACAUGGGAGCAAGUGACAAAGGAAUUACCACCUACUGUCAAAUUUCAUUCAGCAGGGACUUAUUUCUUUCCAUGACAGAGAGACUCUGUCAGUAUGCCCUGAACUGCCAAGCUAGAAAAGUCCAAUUCAAGAGAUCCUUGGGAGCUGUAAGCAAGCGUUUUAGGUCACACUCUCCUCUCAUGCAUUGGAUGUCAUAGAUAUUUUGACCCUGUUGCUAAGUCAAAAAAGGCCUCAAAGA
rnacentral:lncRNA from 1 species